AACUCGACUACAUGAAGCUGGAAUCGCUAGUAAUCGCAGAUCAGAAUGCUGCGGUGAAUACGUUCCCGGGUCUUGUACACACCGCCCGUCACACCAUGGGAGUCGGAAAUGCCCGAAGCCGGUGACCAAACCAAUAAGGAAGGAGCCGUCGAAGGCAGGUCUGAUAACUGGGGUGAAGUCGUAACAAGGUAGC
rnacentral:rRNA from 1 species